UACGUAGGGGGCAAGCGUUGUCCGGAAUCAUUGGGCGUAAAGAGCGUGUAGGCGGCCCGGUAAGUCCGCUGUGAAAGUCCAGGGCUCAACCCUGGGAUGCCGGUGGAUACUGUCGGGCUAGAGUGCGGAAGAGGCGAGUGGAAUUCCCGGUGUAGCGGUGAAAUGCGCAGAUAUCAAGAGGAACACCUGAGGUGAAGACGGGUUGCUGGGCUGAUACUGACGCUGAGGCGCGAAAGCUAGGGUAGCAAACGGG
rnacentral:rRNA from 1 species